rnacentral:rRNA from 1 species
AUUGAACGCUGGCGGAAUGCUUUACACAUGCAAGUCGAACGGCAGCACGGGGGCAACCCUGGUGGCGAGUGGCGAACGGGUGAGUAAUAUAUCGGAACGUGCCCAGUCGUGGGGGAUAACGUAGCGAAAGUUACGCUAAUACCGCAUACGAUCUACGGAUGAAAGCGGGGGAUCGCAAGACCUCGCGCGAUUGGAGCGGCCGAUAUCAGAUUAGGUAGUUGGUGAGGUAAAGGCUCACCAAGCCAACGAUCUGUAGCUGGUCUGAGAGGACGACCAGCCACACUGGGACUGAGACACGGCCCAGACUCCUACGGGAGGCAGCAGUGGGGAAUUUUGGACAAUGGGCGCAAGCCUGAUCCAGCCAUUCCGCGUGCAGGACGAAGGCCUUCGGGUUGUAAACUGCUUUUGUACGGAACGAAAAAGCCUUGGCUAAUACCCAGGGUCCAUGACGGUACCGUAAGAAAUAAGCACCGGCUAACUACGUGCCAGCAGCCGCGGUAAUACGUAGGGUGCGAGCGUUAAUCGGAAUUACUGGGCGUAAAGCGUGCGCAGGCGGUUAUAUAAGACAGAUGUGAAAUCCCCGGGCUCAACCUGGGAACUGCAUUUGUGACUGUAUAGCUAGAGUGCGGCAGAGGGGGAUGGAAUUCCGCGUGUAGCAGUGAAAUGCGUAGAUAUGCGGAGGAACACCGAUGGCGAAGGCAAU